UACUCCUGAUGCCCAAAAGUAAUAGUUUCCUUGCCGCUAUGAUACUCGUCCACACAUACGAUGGGCUAUCCACUGCACCGAUUCGCAAGGGGGAAUCAAUGGAUAGUAUCUUCCCCGGAGAACUCUCUCCACUAGUGAGUCUGAGAAUUGUACAUGACGCCAAAGCUGUCUUAAAAUGCCUCAAAAAUAUAUGAAUUCAAUGAACCGAAUUAAAACUGUCUCAAACUAAGAGAUACUAAACCAAAUUAUAAUUGGUACAAAUAUAUAUGACCGUGAUUUUAAUUUUUAUAUCCAGAUUACCAGAAAAAACUAACCUAAAAGAUUGAGUCCAAAAAUAUCUAAAUAUAAAUAUAUACCAAACAAUUAGUCAAUAUUAAUAUUUGUAAGAACUUAAAUACUCAAAAUUACAUCUACAAACUCUAAUAUAUAAGUUUUUUUUAAUAAUUUGAGUAUUUCGAUAAUCUCAUUUU
rnacentral:lncRNA from 1 species